CUACGGGGGGCUGCAGUAGGGAAUAUUGCGCAAUGGGCGAAAGCCUGACGCAGCAAUGCCGUGUGAGUGAGGAAUGCCUUCGGGUUGUAAAGCUCUGUCAAAGUGGAAAAACAGCUAUUUAUCUAAUAGGUUGAUAGUUUGAUGGUACACUUAAAGGAAGCACCGGCUAACUUCGUGCCAGCAGCCGCGGUAAUACGAAGGGUGCAAGCGUUGUUCGGAUUUAUUGGGCGUAAAGCGCGUGUAGGCGGAUUUGUAAGUCAGGCGUGAAAUCUUAAGGCUCAACCUUGAAACUGCGCCUGAAACUGCGAAUCUAGAAGAUCAUAGAGGGAAGGGGAAUUUCGCAUGUAGGAGUAAAAUCCGUAGAGAUGCGAAGGAACACCGGAGGCGAAGGCGCCUUCCUGGAUGAUUAUUGACGCUGAGACGCGAAAGCGUGGGUAGCAAACAGGAUUAGAUACCCUCGUAGUC
rnacentral:rRNA from 1 species